rnacentral:lncRNA from 1 species
GGCCACGCUCCAUCCGGUUCCAACACGUUCCAACAUCCGGGUCCUGCAACAACGCUGAGGGCCGGCACGCGGUCAGAACUCCUCCGCCCGCACACUAGCCCGCUGCUGCUCUGUUGCUAGUUCCGGUUUCCGGCCUAGAGAUGGGGCCCAGCUGGUUCCUGAGUGAUUGGCGGCCUCUACUCAGAGCUGCCGUCUCACCUCAGCGUCCGGCGGAGCACAGGACGCCUCGCCGCGUGAUCCCGAAGGUUCCCCACGCCAUGUCUGCACCAGACCUCUAA